ensembl:lncRNA
ACCCUGAAAAGGAAUUAUCUGAAUACGAAUCCCACUGUUCUCCUGGCAGCCCUGCCCUGGCUUUGCAGCAACAAGAGCACCAAGCAGCUCAGCCAUGACACCAACUACACUUUGCCAAAGUGGUAGAAAAAGAGUUAGAGAAGCAAGCAGGAGCAGGCUGUGGACAGCCCACGUCUGCUGCAGCACAAGUGUAAGAAAAGAAUAUGAUUUGGACUACUGUAAGCCUUUCACCAUCUCCCUCAAGGAAACUGCUGAAGAUAAAAUUACAAAUGCAAUACUUUUAUCGCUGGCUCAGAAAAUGCAGAUAAGGCCAAAAAAAUUGAGCAGCAACUGGGUAAGGGGAAAUACAGAGUACAACUUGGACAGGAAUGCAAGAAAAGGAAAAAAAAAAAAUAAAGCAAAACCACAUUAAAGCAUAACAUGGAGAAAAGAAUAACCUGCUUGCAAACAACAGUCUACACAGCGUUUGCUGAUGCCAGCUCAAUUUAUGUAUAAUCAAUAUCCUUCUGUUUAAUUCCUCUGUGUUGAAUUCUGUAUACAGCAUUCACUUUUCUUUAGCUAGAAAACUAUUUGAAUAAUAAAACUUCAUCAUCUUUAAAGGGAAAAACAUUUAGAUUAACAUAUUAAACAUUAAAGAUCCAUGCUGAAAAUGUAAAAUGAAUGCGAGAGCUUCUCCCACUCAGCUGGUGUACAGGAGGUGAGAAGAGCAUCUUGCAUGCUAUGAAAGCAAACCAUAAUCUCCAUAAAUCUCAGGAGCUGGGAAUUUGGGUGAAGAGGCAAAGGUCAACAGAACUAUUUGUAAGGCAGUCCCUAGCUUAAAAAUUUUGAGAAAAAGAAAAUCUGCUUUGGCCUGCUCACAAAGUAGGAAACAUGGUUAAUUUAAAGAGAUCCUUCUAAACAAAAUGCAACAGAACAGAGAUUUCUUCUCUUCAUCUAAUUUGACAGAGUACUGAUGUAAUACAUGCUCUGGUUGAAAGAGGCUGGAGAACUUGGAGUAAAUGCAUAUGAUUCUCUCCAUACUCUUUCUCAUAGAGAAUGAACUUUAAAAAAACAAGUUUUAUGAGCAUGAAACCUCUUGCUCUCAUUCCUGAACAUCAGCAAAGGUUUGCCCCAUUGCAAGUCCAGACAGGGAUGCAAAAAUAGGGAAACAAUAUUUCAGGAUAUCCAUAACCUUACUUACACUGCUAACAGUUUCCAUCUCAGAUUUAUACACUAAUAAAAAGACAGAUUUAAAGAACAAUUAAAUUAAGCAUUGUAGAAGGAAACAAAACUGGCAGGAAAGAAGGAAACUCCAGUGCUGCAAACAACACUACGUAAAACAGCAUUUUGAAGCAUUCUGGAGCUAUUGUCUCAUUUCGUCAUGUGGCCAUGGAAAGCGAAGAGGGAAAAGGACUACACUAACAGUUAUCUGGGGAAGGCAACAUGCUGGAUUUAGUAUGGAGAUGGGGUUCUUGAGCCUCCAUGGUACUGAGUGAAAACAAAAUGACUUUCACAACCACGAGAAUUACCAGAGCAGUGGCUAGUGAGGAGAAAUGGCCCAGCAGCAGCAGGGAG